GACGAACGCUGGCGGCGUGCUUAACACAUGCAAGUCGAACGGAAAGGCCCUGCUUUUGUGGGGUGCUCGAGUGGCGAACGGGUGAGUAACACGUGAGUAACCUGCCCUUGACUUUGGGAUAACUUCAGGAAACUGGGGCUAAUACCGGAUAGGAGCUCCUGCUGCAUGGUGGGGGUUGGAAAGUUUCGGCGGGUGGGGAUGGACUCGCGGCUUAUCAGCUUGUUGGUGGGGUAGUGGCUUACCAAGGCUUGGACGGGUAGCCGGCCUGAGAGGGUGACCGGCCACAUUGGGACUGAGAUACGGCCCAGACUCCUACGGGAGGCAGCAGUGGGGAAUAUUGCACAAUGGGCGGAAGCCUGAUGCAGCAACGCCGCGUGCGGGAUGACGGCCUUCGGGUUGUAAACCGCUUUCGCCUGUGACGAAGCGUGAGUGACGGUAAUGGGUAAAGAAGCACCGGCUAACUACGUG
rnacentral:rRNA from 1 species